CGGGGCGUGGCCCAGCGGUAGGGCGCCUGGUUUGGGACCAGGAGGUCGCCAGUUCGAUCCUGGCCGCCCCGACCA
rnacentral:tRNA from 2 species